UGUUUCAAAGAUUAAGCCCUGCAUGUUUAAGUAUAAGCAAUUAUACAGCGAAACUGCGAAUGGCUCAUUAUAUAAGUUAUCGUUUAUUUGAUAGUACCUUACUACUUGGAUAACCGUGGUAAUUCUAGAGCUAAUACAUGCUAAAAAUCCCGACUUCGGAAGGGAUGUAUUUAUUAGAUUAAAAACCAAUGCCCUCUGGGCUCCUUGGUGAUUCAUAAUAACUUUUCGAAUCGCAUGGCCUUGCGCCGGCGAUGGUUCAUUCAAAUUUCUUCCCUAUCAACCUUCGAUGUUUGGGUAUUGGCCAAACAUGGUUGCAACGGGUAACGGAGGGUUAGGGCUUGACCCCGGAGAAGGAGCCUGAGAAACGGGUACUACAUCCAAGGAAGGCAGCAGGCGCGCAAAUUACCCAAUCCCGAUUUGGGGAGGUAGUGACAAUAAAUACUGAUACAGGGCUCUUUUGGGUCUUGUAAUUGGAAUGAGUACAAUUUAAAUCCCUUAACGAGGAACAAUUGGAGGGCAAGUUGUGCCCAAAAAAAAAAAA
rnacentral:rRNA from 1 species